GACGAACGCUGGCGGCGUGCUUAACACAUGCAAGUCGAGCGGUAAGGCCCUUUCGGGGGUACACGAGCGGCGAACGGGUGAGUAACACGUGGGUGACCUGCCCUCAGCUCUGGGAUAAGCCUGGGAAACCGGGUCUAAUACCGGAUAUGACUCCAUGACGCAUGUUGUGGGGUGGAAAGCCUUGUGCGGCUGAGGAUGGGGCCCGCGGCCUAUCAGCUUGUUGGUGGGGUGAUGGCCUACCAAGGCGACGACGGGUAGCCGGCCUGAGAGGGCGACCGGCCACACUGGGACUGAGACACGGGCCCAGGACUCCUACGGGAGGCAGCAGGUGGGGAAUCUUGCGCAAUGGGCGAAAGCCUGACGCAGCGACGCCGCGUGAGGGAUGAC
rnacentral:rRNA from 1 species